rnacentral:piRNA from 1 species
AUUUGUUCUUGUUGUAUCAUUAAGUUGCGAUAUCUUUCAGUAAAAGAUAUAUUUAUUUAAAGAAAUCGCACAAGUAGAAAACUUCAUUUACUAGUUCAUAUACAUAUAUGGUAAAAUAAAUGAUUUUUUGAUCCAAUAUAUGCCUUUUUAAUUAAAUAUACAUAUAUGUAUUGGUAAAAAUAUGGCGCAAUAUGAAUGUGUAAUAUAGUAAAUCAUCAAUGCGCUUAUUUUGGAACUAAAAUACUAAAACGGUCUAUUAGAAAUAAUUAUUCGCAAAUAUUUGCAAAUUAUUGUAAAACAUUAAUGUGUAAAGAAGGUUUUACAAGAAUUGUCCAAAAAGAUAGGCGUUCAGCAUCGUCGAAAUAUUGUCUUUUAAUUUUCCUUGUGUCCAAAUAAAGCCGGUUGAUUAAUAUCAUAGAAUGGAUCAUAAAAUGGAACUAAGUACAACUCUCCUGAUUGGUUGGUAUAUAGAUAUAUAAAUGGAGAGUCUUCAGCCUGUUAUUCGUCUCCUAGGAAAGAAUAUAGCAAUAUGACUUAAAGAACAAUCUCUAACAAUGUGUUAUUACGUUCGAUUUCAGAUGUUCAGCAAUCAGUGUUUAUGGAUCAUAAUCUUCAGCGUGAAACAUACAAAUGUGAAAUGUUUAAAUAAACAUCUUUUUAGUUUUAUAUAAGGCUUAUUUGUUUUCCCUAUCAUAUUUCAGAAUAUGAUUUAUACUGUGUCCAACAAUGAUCAAAUAACGUAAAUAAUCCUUGCCGUAUUCAAACCGCAGUAAGUCAAUCGCGAGGAGUGUUGAAAUGAUUCUUCGACGGAAAAAAAGAAAAGAACAGCUCAAGGUUUCCCAUGGUUGAGAGCCACUUGAGGCCUCUUCAGUCGCUGUACUUGUUAACACGUAGAUGGUGAACCAUUGGAUUGUGAUUCGCAGGAUAUCUUUGUCUACAGCGUGAUCCUCGCAGCCGUAUAUGGCUGCAUAAGUUAUAUAACCUAUAUUUUAGAUAUAAUGAAAUUAUAUUGAUUAUCCCUAUUUUUAUAUAUUUUGAGACACACGCAUAUAUAUAACUUUAUCCAUAUAAAUAAUUAUGGGGCGUGUUAUAUAAAAACAAGUAAAUUAAAUAUUAAAAUACUUAAAAACUUGAUAUUUGUUCAAUUUCCCCCACGCCUUUCGCCAUAUUCGAAUUUAAUUAAAGGGAAAAAACCGCAAAAUUAAAUCCCUCAAACAGAUACAACCUUCUACUUUCUUCAUAUCAAUCCAGUUAACCUAUAAUAGGCAUUUUGCUAAUUAUUAAUUUUUUCCUAUUUCUUCUAUAUAAAAAGAAGGAAAAGCGGAAUUUUUAAACAAAAAGAAGAAUAAAGCUACUUUCGUAAGGAACAAUCCCCAAGUUAUAUUAUCUUUUCUUCUAGCUUACGACAUUUAUGGCUUUAAAAUUGACCGUAGGUUUCUUAUUGUUUCAGGAAGGAUUCAAUCCAUGACUGGAGUUACGAUAAUUCUGAAGAUAUUUUUAUUGAUACAUUUGAAAAAUAAAAUCAAGUUUAUAUACUAAGAGUUUAAUCUCCUAAUAUAUAGUCAGGAACUUGUGGUCAGACACAAAGGCCAGAGGGAAUAUCGUUCCAUAAAACUGAUCGACCUGCCUGCGACUCCUAGCGGGGGAGGAAGGAACGAAAUUUACUACACGUGGUCCUCUAGAAGAAUGGAAAAUUUCAAAAAUCGCGUUUAAUAUUUCAUAUAGACUUAUAUUUUGACUUUUAUAGUGUUUCACUACCUAAGUUUAGUCAGGUACACCUUAAAGAAAAUAUCACAAGUGGGAAAAUUGUUUUAGAAUUCAGCAGAAUUUUUAAAAAUCAAGACCAAGUUAUCUUAUAGUUUUACUAUUCCCCCAUCAUAACAAAUCAAUUUUAUUCAAAGAUAUAUUGUCGCAAUCCUUUCUAUAAUAAAACACGUGUCACAAAAAAAUUGAUACUAAAUGUUCUGGUGAUAUGUUCUAUGUUUAAGGAAGGGAUAUUCAUCAAGUUUAUAUUAAAUGUUCAGUUUAUUUAUAAAUAAAGAAUAGAUAGAACAAUGUACGCGUUUUUAGCCCUUGGCUCUCACAGCGUGGGCUGUAUUUCAAGGAUCCAGUAAAAUGGUCACGGAGGCUAAUUGAAAACCAGAUAGCGUGUCUACAAGGCCAAAUAUACAUAAAAACUCUAAAAUAUGUGUAAAGAGAAAGAAAAUAAAAAAGUAUACAAGAAAAUCGGGUCAUAAAUCUUUAUAUCACGGGUAAAUCACUCGAAUGGUACAAAAAGGUAGAGUCAAUUUGGAUCAUUUUAUAAAUGUCAUUCAUUUAAUUAUACCUGCAUCGUGUUUAUCUUAAAAUUAUAAAAAGCUAUGACAAUAUUCUAAACAUAUUUGCAAGGUAGAAUGGAUCAAUAUAGAAAGGGAAUAAAGCGUCAUAGAUAAUACAAAGUCGUGGUAUAGGUGUACAUUUUAAAAUUACUUUUUCGAAAAAAAAAGAAACCUAGUAAAAAAAUAGAUAUCCAAUUCGAAGAAAAUUUUUGUCUCUAAUAAAAGCAUUCGGAGGAAAGAAAAUCAACGCGCUGCUGAGUAAUCAAAAAGUUUUGGGUGAAGAAAUGAGUCUUUCAAUCAAUACGUAAAUAUACUGGCUGCCCCAAAAUAUCUUCGACAAUUUAAAAUUCCCAUUUUCUCUUGGAACUUUGAAACACAUAAUACACUGGUCUAUAUUUAUAAUAUGAUAACAGGCGAAUGCAUAUAAUACAAAUAUAUUCUUUGUUUUAUUUUUUUUUAUAAUUUAUAUUUAAUGUGUUUUUUUCACCAAUAAUUUGUGUUUUUCUCUAGAUAAAAAAAUUGCUCCAGGAAAAAAAUAUAUUUCAACAAAUUUUUGUUAGAGUUUCGAGAAACGGAACUUAUAGAAAAUAUAUAAAAAUUUAUAUAUAGCCUUUUAUUUAUGAGGAAACUAUUUUUUAUGAUUCUUUCAUAUAUUAGAUAGAUUUUUAUAUUUUUAUUUUAUUCCAUAUAUAGUAGAUUUGUUCCAUAAAAAGGAGCGGAGAUUAGAAAAUGUUGAAUGAAUAAAAUUAGCUAUUUUUCAUAUAUGUUAUUAAAGAAGCAAUUUCUGACAUAAAAUCAUUUUAAAGAACUCCUAAGGCAAGUUUUGAACUAAUAUGAGUGUAUACCACUUAAAUAUUAAAGUUUUUCUUCCAUAAAAAACUUAGGGGAAACUAAUUUAAAGUAUUAGGGUGUCGUCUACUUUGGUUUUUUGGAAGGAGGAGCUGCACUAGGGUGAAACAUGACAAAAGGCGGUGUGGUGCAGUGGAAGGGUUAUUUAUUGACGUCUGGGUGUGUGUGGCAGCGUCUGGUGAGCCUCGCGGCCAUGACGGCAAUGGAAAGGGUUAGCAGCGGUGGCGCGCAUCCUCAUUGGUCAGGCGCGCAGCCAAUAGCAGUCCGCUAGCGCUCGAGUGGCAGUAGUGUGCGGCGGGUCCCGAGCCGAGCGAGGUAUGGUGUUCUUACUGGGAAAUGCUUAGUAGGAACUUCAUACCAUGCUCGGCUCGGCCCUGAAUUUCUUCAGACAAUUGCUUCGGCAAGCCAACUUGAGUGCUGAGGUAAGUUUAUUUGUUCGUAUAACGUGUGCAUGUUCCAGUUGGACUUAGGCACACAUAGUGUGCAUGACUUUGUUCAACUUAGACACAUCGGUCUUAACUUAGAGUUCGUCUCAUCAACUCUCCACGGAAAAAUUUUUGAAGUCUUCAUCACAACUGAAUAUAAUAACAUAGAGUUAUGUAGAUUUACAAUCCUACAUUGCUCAUUUCACAUAAAACCACAUUCUAUUUUCUUAUCGCAAAUUUUCCCUAUGAAACUUUUGCACUUUAAACAUUGGAGUUACAUUUGAGAACAUGAUCUCUCUUUCAAAAAAAUAAAAAAUAAAACUUCAUACCACAUAAAUAAAACUGAAAAAUUGAAAAUACGCCGCGCAUAUUUCUGGAUACUUGAAUGAAUUAUAAAACAGUAUAUCGUGAAGAAUGGACAUAUAAAAAAAUAAAAAACGAAAUAAACUAUGUAAAUCUCUUAGAAGAAAUUUCAUUCCAGCCGCGUUCACAUGGAUGAGCAUUCAAAUCCUCCCCCUGCUUCAAAGGGUUAAACUCCUUCGCACUGAUAUAAUCCUUCUUAAUCCUAAUCCUGAAUACCUCUUUUUUCUUUAUUAAAUUGAAUCUUCGCGUACAUUGAAUGAAAAACAUUUUUUUGCACAUAAAGGCAUGAAAACAUACAUAUUCUUCAAAAAAUAAUAUUUAUUAUAAAAAAAAUUAAAAUAUUGUAAAAGAAAAUCCCUCCGAAACGUAUUUGAUUCAAUUUAUAACAAAUUUUGAAAAUAAAUUCGUAAGACUAGUUAAGGAAUUAAAACCAAAAUGUAUGGUAUAAAGAGAAGUGUAGGCGUUUGAAGAACAGUAGAUUUUCUAUAUUUGAAAAGAGGUGGCAUAUAUAAGGCGUAAAUGUUUUCAAAAAGAUUUUCAUCUAGAAAAAUAACAAAAAAAUCUGUUUGAUGUUUGAAAUAUAUAUAUGAAGUAUAUAUUUAAAACAUAUUCGUAGGAUUUUCUGUUAUUUUAUUAUUUUAUAAAUAUUUUUUAAAAUUAUUUAUUUAAGUCGACGAGAAAGAUUGCCGAAAGAAUCUGAGACGAUAUUUAAGCGUAAGAAACGGAUGGAAAUAAACUUUUUAAAGCGUAGUUCUCUCUCUUGAAAACUUUAAAUAUUUUUAAUUUAAUUCUCUUACGCGCGCGCAUUAAAUAAUAAACGCUCUCGUUAAAAUAAGAUUUUAAACUUUUGACGUACAUUAGAUAUUCAGAUCAAUCUGAAAAAAAAAAAGCGUUGCGUUUUGAAAAGUAGAAUUAUAUAAUAAAAUAUUCAAACAGCUAUACAUUAAUAAAGGUUGAAAUACAAAAGACAAAAUAUUUAUCGUAAUUAUAUUUUAAUAUAUCUAAUAUAGUCUUUUAAAGACGAUUUUAUGUAAAUAUGAUUUAUAUAUUUUAUCCUAAUAAUAAAAUACGUUUUUAUUUUUUGAGUGUAUAAAAUACGCUUUUUAGAAAUAUAAUUAUGAUGCUUAAUCAGCCUUCUAUCUAUACUAGAAAUGUUUGAUCUUUUAAUAUAUUACGCAACUCUGUUAUAUAAAAAGAAUUAAGAGUUUCCUUUAAAACUUCGAUUAACGCCCAUUUGUAUUCUUUGUUGCACAAGCGAGGAAAAAAAAAACUACGUAUUUUAUCAAGCCGUAUAAAAUACGCUAAUUAUUCGGCGCCUCUUUUUUUCUCUUUUUUGUUGUUGUUGUUUAGAGGAAUCAUUUAUACCAGACGACAUAUAAAAUUGUUUAAAGAAAACACAAGGUGUAUAAAAACGGAAAUUGAUGAAAUUGUUCUACAACGCGCGGAAUGAAUAUCAAACAAACAUAAAUGACAUAUAAAUGUUAUGGUGAAAUAAAUAAAAGUGCUGAUUCCAUUAAAGCACAUCGCUGCCAUAAAACAGCGACUUGGAAACGAACGCUUGGUUCCAGAAAAGAGCAAAGUUUGAGCGCGAGGCGGUUGAAGAGAAAGCCCCUCGCACACCGGGGAUCGAUAUAUUUAAGGCAAUGGCAGUCUGAUUUUAAAAAUGCAAAGGGUUCUUUCUUUAUGUCCAAUUUAUGCGCAAUGCCGGCCGGGGCUGGUAAUGAGAGCCGUGCGGUACUGUAGAUAAAUGAGCCAUGUCAGCGAAAUACUUGUGAUGUCUCGUCAUUUAUUUAAAUUCCUCUCUUUCCCUUUUUGUGUGUUCUUUUUAACUAGGCCAUAUUUUGUUAUUGUUUCUUACCCGAUGGAAAAUAAAAAAACUUUUAACGCGUCUUUCUUUCAUUGUCCUUUGUCUUUGUUUAUAAACCAAAUAGCUAGAAGUGUCUACUCAUUCUUUGUGUAUGUGAAUGACUGUACAAAUGCGAUGCAUGGAAACACGUUGCUAUAUAUAAUAACAUUUUCGACCUGUUAACGAUAUUCUAAAAAAUACAUGUAUAUUUCACAUGCGUAUAUGUUUAGAUAUAUAUUAAAAUCAUCUAUUCAAUACAAAAUAUACAUACAUCCUAUGUUUUAAAACGAAGAUGUAUGUUGAAAAUUAAUUAUGUGAAAAAUACGCAUGAAUAUAUAGCAACGUGUUUGUAUACGUGUGUAGUUCGUUUCAUGUUUAAUAAAAAUAUAUGUGAUGUGCGAGUGAAUAUGUGAAAGAGACGUAUUUCUAAACACCACCGUGUCUGUCCAUACGUGUAGUUCACGUUGUCUAUUCUUACAUCUGUCCAAUAUUGUCUGUCCAAGAUCAUCUGUUACGUUCCAGUGCCUAAAAUGACUUGCUCAUAAUUGGUUUUCACAUUUGAAAGCUUUAAAAGUAUCUUUUCGCAAAGGUUGAUUUUAAAAAUAUUUCUAUCCAUACCACAAGACUAUUCGACUUCUUCUUUUACAUCAAGAGAGGGUUAUUUUUCACACUUCUUUCUCCUUUUAUUCACAAUAGUUUCUACUGUGAUAAUAUUUCACUAUUUGUAUAUUUGAAGUCCUUCCAAACUUUUGCUUUUUAUUUCAGAUAUUUUUCGAGAUUAAUUGGAGAUUUUUAAGCUGUCCUAUUAAUGAAAUUUGAAACUUUCAUAUUGUGAUUUCAUCUUUCUUAAAAAUAAAAUAAUAUCCUAUUGUUCCUUCCGUAAAGGAAAAAUUGAAAGGAAAUUUCGCACUAAGAGUUUUAAAAAGGUAUUAACAGAUGGCCAUAAUAAUGCUUCUAGGAAGUUGUUUCAAGAUAGACACAAUAUUUUCUGAUAUUCUCAGUGUUGGUAUUCUUACGUUGUAUAAUCUGUUAUUUUUGCAUCUAAUUAAAGAUAUUCGCUUUUUAAAGAUGUAAAACUCUUUAGGAAAAUCUACAAUGGAGCUUAAACGUUGUUAGAAAGAAAGAGAUCGAGCGUUACUAGUUAGAUAAAUCUAGAAGAAAAAAAAAAAAAGCUUUGCUAUCUCAUUUCACUACAGAAUAAUAGAAGACAAACGUGGCAUAGAGAGAGAGAUCUCCAACAAUGCAGUUAUAAAUGUUAUCGUUUUUAUACAUUGUUAUUAAUUUAAACAUUUAUAGUUGCAAUAUGACAGUUUAUGAUAUUUAAUUUAAAUUUUUGAAAUAUAGAGAUAGAAUGAAAUACGCGAUGUGUGAUGUGAAUAAACUAUGCACAAUCACAUAAAUCUAAACGCCUAAACUACUUAUAUAUUUUGUCAAGGUAUAAAACUAUUCAUCUUUUCAAAAUAGAAAAUGAUAAUAUUGAUCGUUAUUUCUGGAAUCUCUCUCAAAGUCUGUGCCAUUUCAUCUAGCCCUUCAAUCAUUAAGUGGCAUGAUCAAUACGCUGUCCAUUCACUCCUCGACAAUGGCGCCACCAAACAUUGCGAGAUGAAGUGAAAUAUUUAAAUAUCACUCUUAAACCGUUUAUUUUAUCAAUUAAAAAAUUAGUAUAAAAAUAUUAAAGCAUCUAUCCAAAUUAUAGUAUAAACUUUGUAAAUUUUAUUAAAUUUUGUAAAUUUAUUUUACCAUUUUGGCAAUUUUUCAAGCUAUUUUGGCAUCCUCUUUGCAAUAUUUUUUAUGACAUUGCGAGGCUUAGAUAGUUUGUUUUAGUCUGCGAGAAGAAAAAUAUUAAUCCUGAACAUUUCGACUAACAAAUAUUUACAUCACAAAAAUGGCUAACAUAAAAUUGAUGAAAAAAUCCAAAUUCUUCUCGUUUAGUCUUCAUUAUGAUAGAUUAUGUUGCUUUUUUUCUAAAAAAAAGGCAUAUCUAUUUUCAAUAAGAAAUUGAAAUAGUUCAUUUGAAAAAUGGUGGUGAAGCAAUAAUGUCUACCAUUUCAUUGAUGGAAGAAUCCAAUGUUGGGUUUCUGUAUUCGUCAACUUCAUCGAUUUGUCCCUUUGAAUCACAAUAUAAAGUUGGUUCUAAGUUCUCUUUGGAUUUAUUUGCAUCAAGGCUUUCUUUUUCCACUAAUUCAUCCAUUUGUCCUAACUUCUUUCCAUCAUCACGUGUAGUUUUCUCUCUCACUAAGAAUAUUUCAUAAAUAUCCAAGAAAUGACUAACGUCGGUAAUUGCGUAAGUUCAGGUCACAACACGUCAUUAAAAAUGUCCUC